AGUGAACGCUGGCGGUAGGCCUAACACAUGCAAGUCGAACGGCAGCACAGAGGAGCUUGCUCCUUGGGUGGCGAGUGGCGGACGGGUGAGGAAUACAUCGGAAUCUACUCUGUCGUGGGGGAUAACGUAGGGAAACUUACGCUAAUACCGCAUACGACCUACGGGUGAAAGCCGGGAAUCUUCGGACCUUGCGCGACUGAAUGAGCCGAUGUCGGAUUAGCGAGUUGGCGGGGUAAAGGCCAACCAAGGCGACGAUCCGUAGCUGGUCUGAGAGGAUGAUCAGCCACACUGGAACUGAGACACGGUCCAGACUCCUACGGGAGGCAGCAGUGGGGAAUAUUGGACAAUGGGCGCAAGCCUGAUCCAGCCAUACCGCGUGGGUGAAGAAGGCCUUCGGGUUGUAAAGCCCUUUUGUUGGGAAAGAAAUCCAUCUGGUUAAUACCCGAGUGGGAUGACGGUACCCAAAGAAUAAGCACCGGCUAACUUCGUGCCAGCCGCCGCGGUAA
rnacentral:rRNA from 1 species